rnacentral:rRNA from 1 species
UUGAUCCUGGCUCAGGAUGAACGCUAGCUACAGGCUUAACACAUGCAAGUCGAGGGGCAGCAUGGUCUUAGCUUGCUAAGGCCGAUGGCGACCGGCGCACGGGUGAGUAACACGUAUCCAACCUGCCGUCUACUCUUGGACAGCCUUCUGAAAGGAAGAUUAAUACAAGAUGGCAUCAUGAGUCCGCAUGUUCACAUGAUUAAAGGUAUUCCGGUAGACGAUGGGGAUGCGUUCCAUUAGAUAGUAGGCGGGGUAACGGCCCACCUAGUCUUCGAUGGAUAGGGGUUCUGAGAGGAAGGUCCCCCACAUUGGAACUGAGACACGGUCCAAACUCCUACGGGAGGCAGCAGUGAGGAAUAUUGGUCAAUGGGCGAGAGCCUGAACCAGCCAAGUAGCGUGAAGGAUGACUGCCCUAUGGGUUGUAAACUUCUUUUAUAAAGGAAUAAAGUCGGGUAUGGAUACCCGUUUGCAUGUACUUUAUGAAUAAGGAUCGGCUAACUCCGUGCCAGCAGCCGCGGUAAUGCGGAGGAUCCGAGCGUUAUCCGGAUUUAUUGGGUUUAAAGGGAGCGUAGAUGGAUGUUUAAGUCAGUUGUGAAAGUUUGCGGCUCAACCGUAAAAUUGCAGUUGAUACUGGAUAUCUUGAGUGCAGUUGAGGCAGGCGGAAUUCGUGGUGUAGCGGUGAAAUGCUUAGAUAUCACGAAGAACUCCGAUUGCGAAGGCAGCCUGCUAAGCUGCAACUGACAUUGAGGCUCGAAAGUGUGGGUAUCAAACAGGAUUAGAUACCCUGGUAGUCCACACGGUAAACGAUGAAUACUCGCUGUUUGCGAUAUACAGCAAGCGGCCAAGCGAAAGCGUUAAGUAUUCCACCUGGGGAGUACGCCGGCAACGGUGAAACUCAAAGGAAUUGACGGGGGCCCGCACAAGCGGAGGAACAUGUGGUUUAAUUCGAUGAUACGCGAGGAACCUUACCCGGGCUUAAAUUGCAGAUGAAUUACGGUGAAAGCCGUAAGCCGCAAGGCAUCUGUGAAGGUGCUGCAUGGUUGUCGUCAGCUCGUGCCGUGAGGUGUCGGCUUAAGUGCCAUAACGAGCGCAACCCUUGUUGUCAGUUACUAACAGGUUCCGCUGAGGACUCUGACAAGACUGCCAUCGUAAGAUGUGAGGAAGGUGGGGAUGACGUCAAAUCAGCACGGCCCUUACGUCCGGGGCUACACACGUGUUACAAUGGGGGGUACAGAGGGCCGCUACCACGCGAGUGGAUGCCAAUCCCCAAAACCUCUCUCAGUUCGGACUGGAGUCUGCAACCCGACUCCACGAAGCUGGAUUCGCUAGUAAUCGCGCAUCAGCCACGGCGCGGUGAAUACGUUCCCGGGCCU